UCCCUGGUGGCUCAGAUGGUAAAGCAUCUGCCUGCAAUGCGGGAGACCCAGGUUCGAUCCCUGGGUUGGGAA
rfam:Ovis aries breed Texel chromosome 3, whole genome shotgun sequence.